CCAGGAAGCCGCGGCUCCGGAGCGCCCGUUCGCCGCUGGGUGCCGAGGGCUCCGUCCCUCUCGCUGCUUCCCUUCUCCCUCCUUCCCUCCCUCCUUCCCUCCCUCCUUCCCUCCUUCCCUCCCUCCCUCCCUCUCUGCUCGCUCCCCCUCCGACCCCCCUGGUGCUGGCAGGGGGCUGGGAAGGCGCAGCUCCAGCACAUGCCGAGCCGGCGGUCACGGCCCGGACCCUCUGCUGUUAAUCAGGAGCAUCCCAGGCUCCCUCUGGCUCGCCCCGGCUGUUCCCCCGCGGGACACCCGGCCCUGCAGCCCGCCCUCGGCCAUACAGCGUUAAUCAUCAUCAUCAUCAUCAUCAUUAUCAUCAUCAUUAUCAUCAUCGUCGUCGUCGUCGUCGUCGCCGUUCUUUCCCUCUCUGCCUCCUGCUGUUCCCCAUCCCUCCCUUCCAUGAGUUUGCUGCUACUCAGGAGAUGUAAUUUGCUCUCUCUGAUUCUCUGUUGACCGAAGCCUGCUCCGGGUGCUCCCUGCUGCCCCCGCUGCUGAUCUCCUCCUCGCUUCUGCGGCUCCCGGGACCCUUCCAGGUGACGGCGGCAGGGAGAGGUGAAGCUGUCAUUGGAAAGCAGGCUGGGAUCGGGCUGUUCCGUGUCUCACUCACACCUCUGCUGAGCCUUCUGCAAACAGCACACACAGCCCAGCCCGGGCACAGCACCCGGCCUUCUGCCUGCCUCAUCCAUCUUCCAUCGCCCCCUGGCACUUCCCCGUGCCGACCGACUGACAGCACACGAGGGCAGACACUCCCCACGGGGAAAAUGAGCUGACUGCAUGGAAUUUGGCCAUGCCCUUACCAUAACUUCAUUUGCCGUGGGUUUUCUCCCUUUUGGACCAUGCUCUGCAGCAUCCAGCACGCACAUCCCGAAACCCACCCCACUGCAGGGAGCUGGAACACAAAGUGAAGUCCUCAAAGCUCCAGCUGACCAGAGAUCCCACACAAGAACCUCUCAGGGAAGGGCUACUGGUUUCUUUCACAGUUCUUUAUGAAGUUGGUCAGGAUUUGUAUUUUCCUGUGCACGUGUUUAAAGGAAGGUCUUUCAGGAGGCAGAGGGAGAUCUGUGCACAGCUGAACACGCUGGUGAGGAGAGGCAUGAGGGAACUGACACACAUCAAAGUGAGAGCAAUAAGACACAAAAACAGAUGGGCAGAUGGAGUUGCCUGAGCCAACAAUUCAGUUUUAAUUGUAUUAGGAAGAGCUGUGCUGAGAUACAAGCAAAAGUGGGUUUCACACCAGGUCUUCAAAAUGGUUGGGGCUUGGAGCACUGCAAAUGGCACUGGUGGCACACCAUGGGUGUCCCAGCUCAGGUACCUGGAAAACAGCAUGGACAUGGAAAUCCAUGGACUUGUACAGGUAAUUACAUUCAUUCCAGUCAUCACAACUCUACUCUUUGAUUUUCCUGGGAUUUGGCGGUUUAUGAUCACAUACACUGGAGAAUCCCCCCCAGGGAAUGCAACUGCAGCUGUCCUGCUGCUCUCUGGGCUGAGGAGGAGCAGUGGCUGUGUGCCCCAGCCUCAGGCAGAGCUCCUGCAGCCCAGGACAGCGCUGCAUCGCUGCUGCAUCACUGCUGCCCCUGCAGCAGCUCCCUGGCCCCAGUGCUGGCCCCACAGCAGGCUGUGAGAAGCUGAAAUCAGCUGGAUCUGUAGGAGGACAUUUGUCACAACACCAAAUCUCUGCAGGAGAUCCGUGCAACCAGUUGGCCAAAAAAGUCAUUACUGUUAAUGUCAUUUCCUCCUAACCGUGAGCCUUUUAACAAAAUUUAACAAAAUUCACAGAGCAGCCCCCCAGCAAACACCAAUGACCACGGCUCCCUCGCUCCUGGUGCAGAUGUCCCCACUCACUUCAGCUGGGGAAUGGCUCUUUGUGUUUUUAUUCCAGUUUCCUUUUUAUGAUCUUCAUUUGCUGUGUCUUCAUCUGGUGUGUUUAUGUGGCUGGUGCUUGGUUUUCAUUAUUUUUAACUGCAUUUCAGAUCAUUUGCUCUAUGGUUUUGUUCACAUUCUCCUUUUCCACGAAAUUCUAAUAAAACACUUGGCUACAGUUUUCCUAAAUUGAA